rnacentral:tRNA from 1 species
GCCCUCGUAGUUCAACGGAUCAGAACAGCCCCGUCCUAAGGGGUAGAUAGAGGUUCGAUUCCUCUCGAGGGCACCA